AUUUAGGGGUUGGCAAUGGAGGUGAGGGCAUCUCUUGCCUGGUGACCCCUGCCUACCUGAAGCCUUCCAAAGUGGGCCUUCUUGGAUACCUCCAAGCUUCAGCUGUUCUGAAAGAAGUUAUCAACCUUCCUGGAAAAAGACGAUAGGGAUACUGAAACUGCAAGGAAGUGGAGUAAGGAAGAGGAGCAACACCUGAAAAAAAGGAAGAUGGAUGAAGGUCAAAGGAUCUAAACUUCUAAGUGAGGAACUGAAACAGAGCACAGUAGAAAUGGAAUAUUGGACUUUACAAGUGUUAUCUUCUGUGACUUUUUUCACUGAUAGAAUGCCAAGUGAUGAAAUGUGGAAGGAAGUUAGCCUUUUAUUUGUACUUGUAUAAUAAUGUGUUCUGCAGUAAAAUCUGGAGACUUAUCAGCCAAAACAGUUAUUAUGAAGCAUACAGGCACAGUUCUUAAAGUUGGGAGAUUGUAUAUACCUAUCAACAGCUUACUGAUGGCUCACUGCAGUCUAUAAUUAUCUGAAGCUGAAAUUCUCCAUCUACCAGUCUUUAUCAUUAAUCAUUUGUUAUCACACAAAGUAAGUGUCUUGUAUAUUGCUUCUUUAAACAACUGAAUUACUCUGUUAAUGCACUAGGCAUGUAUAUUACUAGGUCAGUCCAACAAAUUAAAAAUUGCAGUGCAUAGCAACAUCCCAGUACCAUAAGUACUAAGUCACUGCUCAUAAUUUUGUGUGCUAAUAGGCUUUGUGAUUUGGCAGUUUGCAUUAUUGGUAGAUUGGUAGGAAGGGAAGUUUUGCAUCAAAAUUGAGUCAUUGUGUUUGGAAAUGCAGAGCAGAAUAGUAGCAAACUCUGAUUCAAGGUCGGAUUCUUUUAUCCAGACCAAACACUGACAAAGUUGGAAUUUAAAAGUGUUUGCAGUGGUUUGAAAAACACAGAGCUUAAAUAUCUGUUAAAUUCCUUCUUAACCUUUUUUUUUUUUUAACCUAACAUUCCUUUUUUUUUCCCCAUUUGAAUGUUCUUAAAAUGUAACUAUUUCUGAGAGAAACACACAAGCUUUUCACAAUCACAUUCUAAUUUUUCACAAAAGAAACAAUGACCAGUUAUCUCAGUUAUCUACUUUUUCAAGAUUAAUAACUUUUUAUUUAUUAAUUUAUUUAUUAAAGAUUAAUAACUUAAUACCUUUUUUUAAUUAUAAUUAAAGCAUUAUCUGUGGAACCUCAUGCAAUGCUAGACAUAAACAAAAUGCUGAGUAUGGAAUGACUUAGGUGAAAGUCUUCCACUCCCUGUCACACACUAUUGAUGCUGAUAUUAAUGUUUUGGGAAGCACUGAAAGAGAAAAAUAUCAGCAUAAAAAAGAGGAUUUUUUUUUUUUUAAAGCAGAAAACCAAUGUAUUUUGCAAAAGUAAGAAUUAAUCUUUAAGCAGCAUAUUUUUGCAAGUCUUAAUAUAAUUGCUUUUGUUAAACUUAUUGAAAAUGUUUGGUCCUCUGCGUGGCAUCAUAAAACUGAUUGAUUUCUUACUGAUUUUUUUUAAUAUCACUUCAGUAAAAUAGGUUAGCUGUUAGAGGCUAUAUUGAAGUGUGUAAAUGAUGUUCGUCAGUCACAUAAAUUCUAUUUGGUGUUAAAAUUGGUUGCAAGUAUCCUAGAAUGUUCCAUGAAGAAAAUGUAAUAAUCUAUUUUUAUAUGUUUAUUCAAGCUUUCUUUUUCUUAAUAUAGUCUGCUUUUCAGAAUC
ensembl:lncRNA